UGGUUCCUUGCGGCGCAUUCGGAGAUGCUGAGGCGCUGCCCGGGAGGAGAAUGAUCAGAUCCGCUGACAUCCUUGGCUGGGGAGGGACGGGGAGAACGUUGGAGACACACGGAUUCAUGAGAUUUUUCAUGGUUCUUAUGAUCUCGUUAGAAGCACCAACUCUGGAAAGAAGGAGCUGUUAAAUCCAGAAAAUUUUCCUGAGAAUGUAUUUAUCAAGUCAGAGAUGAAGAGAAAAAUGAAAGAACUGGGCCACAAGGAAGAAAAGAAGGGAAGGAGCACACAGGCUCAGUCCUACAGUGAUUUGGAUGUUUGCUGAGGCAGAGAGAGGAUUCAUGAGUUGAGCUGAGCCGAACUGCUUCUGUUUCUGCAGCUGGCUGGGAGGGCUGUGGGGGUCUCUUUUCUCCAUGGGAGUGAGCAGUGCAGCAGAAGGCUUUCUAUAGAGGCUCUUUGAGUCAAAAAGCAGAGGUUCGUCUGCC